rnacentral:rRNA from 1 species
AUCGAACGCUGGCGGCAGGCCUAACACAUGCAAGUCGAACGAGUGGCGGACGGGUGAGUAAUGUCUGGGAAACUGCCCGCUGUAGGGGGAUAACUACUGGAAACGGUAGCUAAUACCGCAUACCAUCAGAUGUGCCCAGAUGGGAUUAGCUAGUAGGUGGGGUAAUGGCUCACCUAGGCGACGAUCCCUAGCUGGUCUGCGAGGAUGAACAGCCACACUGGGACUGAGACACGGUCCAGACUCCUACGGGAGGCAGCAGUGGGGAAUAUUGCACAAUGGGCGCAAGCCUGAUGCAGCCAUGCCGCGUGUAUGAAGAAGGCCUUCGGGUUGUAAAGUACUUUCGGCGGGGAGGCGUUACCCACAGAGGAAGCAACGGCUAACUCCGUGCCAGCAGCCGCGGUAAUUC